rfam:Pseudomonadales bacterium RIFCSPLOWO2_12_59_9 rifcsplowo2_12_sub10_scaffold_4190, whole genome shotgun sequence.
GUAGUUGUCACCGCAAGGUUUGUGUCGGCAACGACACUCAGUCUUCUGCGUGCAGCCCCGCUGCGCGCAACCGGCAACGCCGGAUGCAUUAACCAGCCGGCAUGUGGCCGGC